UUCCUUUUAUUUUAGAGACUGAUUUUUCAUAAUUUAAAUCUAUCUUAUAAACAAUUUUUUUUAAAAAACGUACAGAAGGUAAAAAGAACUCAAGUAUUAAACUCAAGGCUUUGAUUCCUCUUUUUUAAACAAAGGUGUUUUAGGAAAUGUAUCAAAAUGGUGACUGUGUGCAUGGUAGCUCCUAGUCAGGCUCUGUAACGCACUGCUCCACGAUCUCACGCAGGUUUGGGUUCUCCAUCGCAGCUGCGACCCUCUCCUUAUCAUUGAUCUGCUUGUUGAUGUCUUCUUCAGUGGAAUGUGUACCUUCAGAUAUGUAGAUUUCCAGCUUAUGUCUAAAAGGCAAGCAUCUCUGAAGUUUUAUUCUUAAACAAAGGCCGAUGAGAGUCGCCAAAGAGCAGUGAGGUACGGUUGGUGUGAACCUGAUGACCACCAGAUACUCCUCCUCGCCGAUCUCAUCCACCUGGACACAGCUUUCCGUCACCACGUCCAGUUCUUCUAAAGUAUUCGGCUUCUCCGGGUCCCGGAUGGUACGGAUUAUAUCGUAAACCUCGAGCGCCUUGUCCUGCUCCAUGGCCCUGCGGCGCGGGGCAUGGCAGCCCCUACGCAGCCCGGAGUACCGCAGCACUCUGCUCAGCGUGUGCGACAGCAGCCCCAGCACCAGCGACAUCCUCCCGCUCCGCCAUGGGAGAGCGCGAAACGGCCCCGCGCGGCCACCGUCCG
rnacentral:lncRNA from 1 species